GCGCGGGAGGCGCCGUUGGUUGGUUGGCGGGCGGGCCAUGGCUCUGCUGCUGUGCCUCGGCCUGACCGUGGCGCUGGCCCGCGGCUGCCUGCACUGUCACGGCAACUUCUCGGAGAAGUUCUCCUUCUACCGCCAUCACGUGAAUCUCAAGUCCUGGUGGGUGGGCGACAUCCCCGUGUCGGGCUUGCUGCUCAGCGACUGGAGCCAGGACACGAUGAAGGAGCUGCACCUGGCCAUCCCCGCGGAGAUCACCCGGGAGAAGCUGAACCAAGUGGCGAACGCCGUGUACCAGAAGAUGGAUCAGCUGUACCAGGGGAAGAUGUAUUUCCCCGGGUACUUCCCCAACGAGCUGCGAGCCAUCUUUCGGGAGCAGGUGCACCUCAUCCAGAAUGCAAUCAUCGAAAGCCGCAUCGACUGUCAGCGUCACUGUGGCAUCUUCCAGUACGAGACCAUCUCCUGUACCAACUGCACGGACUCGCACGUCGUCUGCUUUGGCUACAACUGCGAGUCAUCGGCACAGUGGGAAACAGCUGUGCAGGGCCUCCUCCAGUACAUAAAUAAGUGGCACAAACAGGACGACCACACAAGCUGGACGUCACCCCUGCAACCACACCCAAGUGAUCACUUCGAAUAAACAUCGGAUCUUCCUCCCCUCUCCUGGAUGCACAGAACCACUCCAGCUUUUCUGAUGUCACCAAGCUUCACAUGUCUUGAGCCCCCACACCUGGCCAACUUGACCCUGGAAAAUGCUUCCGAGUGCCUGACACAGCACUGACGGCCACCGGCCAUCGCCAGACUGGCCCUAGCCUCGAGGUGGAGCCAGGACUCAGCUGGACUGCCCCAGCCUGACCCCCCGGAGCAGGCUCACUGCUGCCUUGAGUCCCUGCACUGCCAUCAGAGGCUGGGACUGGGGCCGGGAAGGGCGCAUGGCUUUGUAUAUAGAGUGCAUCACCGCCGGGCGGAGCCGCAGGGCUAUUAGAGGCAAUGAUUAAACGUCCCCGUUUCUCAUCA